GGAUACUAGCUAUAGUGGUUUGAGUGUUGGACUACGACUCUGGAGACCAGGGUUCAAUCCCCAGCUCAGCCA